AGCGAACGUUAGCGGCGCGCCUAACACAUGCAAGUCGCACGAGAAAGGGAGCAAUCCCCGGUACAGUGGCGCACGGGUGAGUAACACGUAGAUGACCUUCCCUGGAGUGGUGGAUAACCUGCCGAAAGGCGGGCUAAUACAGCAUGGGACCACAUGGUUUUGACCGAGUGGUGAAAGCGGGCCUCUGUUCACAAGCUCGCGCUCUGGGAUGGGUCUGCGUCCCAUCAGCUAGUUGGUGAGGUAAUGGCUCACCAAGGCAUCGACGGGUAGCUGGUCUGAGAGGAUGACCAGCCACACUGGAACUGAGACACGGUCCAGACUCCUACGGGAGGCAGCAGUGGGGAAUCUUGCGCAAUGGGCGAAAGCCCGACGCAGCGACGCCGCGUGGGUGAUGAAGGCCUCGGUUGUAAG
rnacentral:rRNA from 1 species